rnacentral:rRNA from 1 species
UACGUAGGGUGCGAGCGUUGUCCGGAAUUAUUGGGCGUAAAGAGCUUGUAGGCGGUUUGUCGCGUCUGCUGUGAAAAUCCGGGGCUCAACCCCGGACUUGCAGUGGGUACGGGCAGACUAGAGUGUGGUAGGGGAGACUGGAAUUCCUGGUGUAGCGGUGGAAUGCGCAGAUAUCAGGAGGAACACCGAUGGCGAAGGCAGGUCUCUGGGCCACUACUGACGCUGAGGCGCGAAAGCUAGGGUAGCAAACGGG